rnacentral:rRNA from 1 species
UACGUAGGGUGCAAGCGUUAAUCGGAAUUACUGGGCGUAAAGCGUGCGCAGGCGGCUUUGCAAGACAGAUGUGAAAUCCCCGGGCUUAACCUGGGAACUGCAUUUGUGACUGCAUGGCUGGAGUGCGGCAGAGGGGGAUGGAAUUCCGCGUGUAGCAGUGAAAUGCGUAGAUAUGCGGAGGAACACCGAUGGCGAAGGCAAUCCCCUGGGCCUGCACUGACGCUGAGGAGCGAAAGCAUGGGGAGCGAACAGG